rnacentral:rRNA from 1 species
CCUACGGGAGGCAGCAGUGGGGAAUAUUGCACAAUGGGGGAAACCCUGAUGCAGCGACGCCGCGUGAGUGAAGAAGUAUUUCGGUAUGUAAAGCUCUAUCAGCAGGGAAGAAAAUGACGGUACCUGAUUCAGAAGCCCCGGCUAACUACGUGCCAGCAGCCGCGGUAAUACGUAGGGAGCAAGCGUUAUCCGGAUUUACUGGGUGUAAAGGGAGCGUAGACGGCAGCACAAGUCUGGAGUGAAAUGCCGGGGCUCAACCCCGGAACUGCUUUGGAAACUGUGCAGCUAGAGUGCAGGAGAGGUAAGUGGAAUGCCUAGUGUAGCGGUGAAAUGCGUAGAUAUUAGGAGGAACACCAGUGGCGAAGGCGGCUUACUGGACUGUAACUGACGUUGAGGCACGAAAGCGUGGGGAGCAAACAGGAUUAGAUACCCCUGUAGUC